CCUUUGAAAGGUGCGCAUGUUACGUGUAAAGAGCCAAAAGAGUAGAGGACGUUAUUGCAUUGGAAGGAAACAUGAAAAUUAACGGAGGUCCCCAAACGCCUCAUACACAUUCUAAUUACAUAAAGGCUACCAGUUUGGUGAUUAGGAAUCCGUCUUAAUCCCUUUCUGCUUUAAUCCUGAUCACGUUUUAAUCUAUUUCAGUGGAAUUUGAACGAGAUGAAACAGAGAAAUGCAAUAAAUUCUGAUUACCAAAAAAAAAAAAAAAAAAAAACAUCGACAUCAAACCUGGCAACCCGGCUGUUUUAUAGCUUACUUUCUCAGGCUGAUUUAGCGAAUACAAACUAUUCCACAUUCACUGCUUCUCCUUUUAUCCACUUAAUCUGAUCAUUUAAGGGGCGUUUGAGGUGAUGCGGAGAUGUGUUUCAUUAUCUGCAUGACGUGAAUUCCUUCUGCACCUUUCACAGUUGGUUUUUAGUCACUUGAACGCACCUGAUCCGCCAUAUUAAAAACGUGAUCAUCACUUCAUUCGACUUUAAUUUGCGCUCAUGAAGGGGAUAUUAUCACCACCUAAUCUUUGAUGUUGGUAUAUAUGAUUGAUCUUUAUCUUUGUGUACUUAGAAUAUUAUUGGAUUAUCUUUUCUUUCUGCCUCCGUUUGGUUCCCCCUCCUGUUUAUUUGGAUGAAAUUACGUGAGGAAACUCGUUGUUGCACGGACAGAUCAUGCUGAGCGCAUGAACUCUCUCAACCCGGAUCCCUGCCCCUGAUUGGACCUGAGCUGUGUACUUCAAAACAGCUUGUUGUAGUCUCUCCAACAAAACCAGAUCAGAGUAUAUCAUGUUUUGCGGCUCAUUGGGAGUCAGUUUAGACUGGAGAUGUGAUAUGCAUCGGGUAGGUUAAAGCAGCUUAAUGGAGCAGUUUAAUUGCCAACCAUGCCACCACUGAUUGCUCUUCCUGCGCAUGCGCGACGGAGGGAAAAAAAGAGAAAUACGAAUGGAUGUUGUCGAAGAGGAACAUAAACGAAAGAGGUCUCACUCUGCCUCUAAUUCCAGUUACUUUAAACGUGAUCAUACACGCGUAGUAGGAGGGGCUUCCUGCUUAAAGGAACAUUGCAGAGAUUUUCGGACCUUUUCGGAGUUUAUUACAGUGCACAUUACAUGCAUUACACUAUCCACAUAGGUGUUUGUAGUUUUUGUUUAUCUUAACCUUAUGCUUUAACUACAUGUCUUGUGUUUGACAAUGUUUUACAGAAUUGAUUUUAAAGUUUAAUAUAUAUAUAUAUAUACUAAAAUGUAUUGUUUCAUGUAAACUAUAUUUUUAAUGAUCUCCUCUAAAUCUGAUGUUUGUGUGGACUGUAGUGCUUAAUUUAGCUUUCAAAUGUACUAUUUAUAUACUUGUUCAUAUGUUUUUAAUGAGGAAUAGCUCUGCUCUAGGCCAGUGGUUUCUCAAGUGGGGGGCGUGGGAACCAAGCCACCAAGAGGGGGGUUGCUAGUUGCCUUCAGAAACAAACUAAUAAACCUUUUAAACAA